rnacentral:misc_RNA from 1 species
ACGAGUUUUAAUUGUUAAGGUUGGGAGUUGAGCUGGUUAAUCUAAUUAAUAUGUGCUUACCUCUAAUUCGAAACAAGUCCACUCAUUACCUUAACACCAGUGAACUUAUUCAUUACAAACAUUAUUAUUUGUUAUUGGAACGAUUGAUUAUUAAAAAGUUAAUA